rnacentral:rRNA from 1 species
ACUUAGUGGCGGACGGGUGAGUAACGCGUGAGCAACCUGCCUUUCAGAGGGGGAUAACAUUUGGAAACAGAUGCUAAUACCGCAUAAGAUUACAGUACCGCAUGAUACAGUGAUCAAAGGAGCAAUCCGCUGAAAGAUGGGCUCGCGUCCGAUUAGAUAGUUGGUGAGGUAACGGCUCACCAAGUCGACGAUCGGUAGCCGGACUGAGAGGUUGAACGGCCACAUUGGGACUGAGACACGGCCCAGACUCCUACGGGAGGCAGCAGUGGGGAAUAUUGCACAAUGGGCGAAAGCCUGAUGCAGCAACGCCGCGUGAGGGAAGACGGUUUUCGGAUUGUAAACCUCUGUUUUCGGUGACGAACAAAUGACGGUAACCGAGUAGGAAGCCACGGCUAACUACGUGCCAGCAGCCGCGGUAAUACGUAGGUGGCAAGCGUUAUCCGGAAUUACUGGGUGUAAAGGGAGCGCAGGCGGGAUAGCAAGUCAGCUGUGAAAACUAUGGGCUCAACCCAUAAACUGCAGUUGAAACUGUUAUUCUUGAGUGGAGUAGAGGCAAGCGGAAUUCCGAGUGUAGCGGUGAAAUGCGUAGAUAUUCGGAGGAACACCAGUGGCGAAGGCGGCUUGCUGGGCUCUAACUGACGCUGAGGCUCGAAAGUGUGGGGAGCAAACAGGAUUAGAUACCCUGGUAGUCCACACUGUAAACGAUGAUUGCUAGGUGUGGGGGGUCUGACCCCCUCCGUGCCGGAGUUAACGCAAUAAGCAAUCCACCUGGGGAGUACGGCCGCAA